rnacentral:rRNA from 1 species
UACGGGGGGGGCAAGCGUUGUUCGGAAUUACUGGGCGUAAAGGGCUCGUAGGUGGUCAACUAAGUCGGACGUGAAAUCCCUCGGCUUAACCGGGGAACUGCGUCCGAUACUGGAUGACUUGAGUUCGGGAGAGGGAUGCAGAAUUCCAGGUGUAGCGGUGAAAUGCGUAGAUAUCUGGAGGAAUACCGGUGGCGAAGGCGGCAUCCUGGACCGGCAUUGACGCUGAUGAGCGAAAGCUAGGGGAGCAAACGGG